rnacentral:lncRNA from 1 species
GUUAUUGGAGUGGCAGUUAUUUUAAUUUAUUUAAUUAAAGCAGUGGAUACUUAAUUAUUAAUUUUGAUUUAAUUUAACGGAAGACUACUUCCAGGCAUGGCCCCAAGCUAAAAGGAAUUUAUAUUUCUGUUAUUGUAACUAAUAAUUACAGCUAAUAUUAGCACAUUACAAGCACAAAUUCUUGUUAGCAACUUACAAUUUGAAAUCAUUGUUAAGAGUCUUUGAAAACAUAGUGAGAUUAAAUUUUUGCCAAGGACAGUUUGCAGCAGAAACAUGAAAUUCACUUUAGUCUGGGGCAAAUUCACCAAACGGAUACCUAACAAUGGGUUUUGUAUUAUGUUAUUUUUAAUCAAAAUAUUAGAAUUGCAUUAAAUCAUUAUCUGAUUGAAGCAGAAUGGCCUGCACAAAUAGGGGUGUGCGAACCUAGAAAGGUGGCAGCAAUAUCAUUAGCUAAUCGUGUCGCGGAUGAGAUGGGAACGUUUGUACAGGGCGAUACAGUCGGAUAUGCUGUGCGUUUCGAUGCAUGUACAAACCAGCCAAAGAUAAAGUAUAUGACCGAAGGAAUUCUCCUCAGAGAAAUCAUGGGUGAUCCUCUUUUAAAAAAUUAC